rnacentral:rRNA from 1 species
GACGAACGCUGGCGGCGUGCUUAACACAUGCAAGUCGAACGGGCCUGUCUUCUUUUUUGGGGGGUGGGUUGAGUGGCGAACGGGUGAGUAUCACGUGAGUAACCUGCCCUUCGGUCCUGGAUAACCGCUUGAAAGGGCGGCUAAUACGGGGUGGUCCGGUUGGUCCGCAUGGGCUGGUCGGGAUAGAUUCACUGUUUUUGGUGUUUCGGCGGGGGAUGGGCUCGCGGCCUAUCGGCUUGUUGGUGGGGUGAUGGCCUACCAAGGCGGUGACGGGUAGCCGGGCUGAGAGGGUGGGCGGCCACACUGGGACUGAGAUACGGCCCAGACUCCUGCGGGAGGCAGCAGUGGGGGGUAUUGCACGAUGGGCGGAAGCCUGAUGCAGCGACGUCGCGUGAGGGAGGGAGGCCUUCGGGUUGUGAACCUCUGUUUCCGGUGGUGAAGGCCCUGUCCGUGUGGUGGGGCUGACGGUAGCCGGGGAUGAAGCGCCGGCUAACUACGUG